UGGGGAAUAUUGCACAAUGGGCGCAAGCCUGAUGCAGCCAUGCCGCGUGUAUGAAGAAGGCCUUCGGGUUGUAAAGUACUUUCAGCGAGGAGGAAGGCGUUGUGGUUAAUAACCGCAACGAUUGACGUUACUCGCAGCAGAAGCACCGGCUAACUCCGUGCCAGCAGCCGCGGUAAUACGGAGGGUGCAAGCGUUAAUCGGAAUUACUGGGCGUAAAGCGCACGCAGGCGGUCUGUCAAGUCGGAUGUGAAAUCCCCGGGCUCAACCUGGGAACUGCAUCCGAAACUGGCAGGCUAGAGUCUUGUAGAGGGGGGUAGAAUUCCAGGUGUAGCGGUGAAAUGCGUAGAGAUCUGGAGGAAUACCGGUGGCGAAGGCGGCCCCCUGGACAAAGACUGACGCUCAGGUGCGAAAGCGUGGGGAGCAAACA
rnacentral:rRNA from 1 species